rnacentral:misc_RNA from 1 species
AAGUCGUAACAAGGUUUCCGUAGGUGAACCUGCGGAAGGAUCAUGAACACGUAUCCAACGUUAAAAACCCCGUGCAUUUUAACCCUCGGCUCCCCAUAUUAAACCCGUAUGUGAAAGUCGGGCUUGCAAACUACAGGCCCACAAAACGAACAACUGUUAACAAUGGAUAUCUUGGUCUC